CGGGUGAGUAACGCGUGAGGGAACCGCUCCAAAGAAGGGGGACAACAGUUGGAAACGGCUGCUAAUACCGCAUAAGCCACGGCUCGGCAUCGAGCAGAGGGAAAAGGAGCAAUCCGCUUUGAGAUGGCCUCGCGUCCGAUUAGCUAGUUGGUGAGGUAAUGGCCCACCAAGGCAACGAUCGGUAGCCGGACUGAGAGGUUGAACGGCCACAUUGGGACUGAGACACGGCCCAG
rnacentral:rRNA from 1 species